AUCACUUCUUGUCCUUUUGGCUAAGGUGAAGUGUGCUAUCUGUUCUUAUCAUUGUAAUAUCACACACAUCCUCCAUCUCAGGACAGGAUAGUAAAAACGGACGUUUGGAGCUGGGAGACGGAAUGAGAGCUUGCACUGUCCACCCACUACAUUGCGGCACUUCCAGCAAUGGUGCACCCCAC